rnacentral:rRNA from 1 species
GAUGAACGCUGGCGGCGUGCCUAAUACAUGCCAGUCGAGCGAACAGAUAAGGAGCUUGCUCCUUUGACGUUAGCGGCGGACGGGUGAGUAACACGUGGGUAACCUACCUAUAAGACUGGGAUAACUUCGGGAAGCCGGAGCUAAUACCGGAUAACAUUUGGAACCGCAUGGUUCUAAAGUGAAAGAUGGUUUUGCUAUCACUUAUAGAUGGACCCGCGCCGUAUUAGCUAGUUGGUAAGGUAACGGCUUACCAAGGCGACGAUACGUAGCCGACCUGAGAGGGUGAUCGGCCACACUGGAACUGAGACACGGUCCAGACUCCUACGGGAGGCAGCAGUAGGGAAUCUUCCGCAAUGGGCGAAAGCCUGACGGAGCAACGCCGCGUGAGUGAUGAAGGGUUUCGGCUCGUAAAACUCUGUUAUUAGGGAAGAACAAAUGUGUAAGUAACUGUGCACGUCUUGACGGUACCUAAUCAGAAAGCCACGGCUAACUACGUG